AGUGGACGCUGGCGGUAGGCCUAACACAUGCAAGUCGAACGGCAGCACAGUAAGGGCUUGCUCUUACGGGUGGCGAGUGGCGGACGGGUGAGGAAUACAUCGGAAUCUACUUUUUCGUGGGGGAUAACGUAGGGAAACUUACGCUAAUACCGCAUACGACCUACGGGUGAAAGCAGGGGAUCUUCGGACCUUGCGCGAUUGAAUGAGCCGAUGUCGGAUUAGCUAGUUGGCGGGGUAAAGGCCCACCAAGGCGACGAUCCGUAGCUGGUCUGAGAGGAUGAUCAGCCACACUGGAACUGAGACACGGUCCAGACUCCUACGGGAGGCAGCAGUGGGGAAUAUUGGACAAUGGGCGCAAGCCUGAUCCAGCCAUACCGCGUGGGUGAAGAAGGCCUUCGGGUUGUAAAGCCCUUUUGUUGGGAAAGAAAAGCAGCAGGUUAAUACCCCGCUGUUCUGACGGUACCCAAAGAAUAAGCACCGGCUAACUUCGUG
rnacentral:rRNA from 1 species